AUUGUCGAUGGCAACAUUGCAACAUUUCAAUACAACGGUCAAGAACCCACAAGUUCAAUAACAUAAACACACGCAUCCGGUUAGUAGCCACAGCGCAAUAUCAAAAUUCUGAUUCUGCAAACCUUGCAGUUUCAGCCACUUCAUCAGAACUAGGCCAUCGCCGCGGUCUCUUCCGCGCCGUCGACGUCGCUGCCCCAACCCACAGCUUAGAUCAGGGUAUUUUGAAAUGAAUAAAGUCAGUCUCAAAUUGAACUUCAAAGAAAUAAAACGUUCAAAACUUAUUUUUGGGUUUUAAUUAUCCUGGAAAUUAACUUUUACGGCUGCACCUGGAUCCUAUGGGGAUGCUUGGCGGGAAAGUAUGUGUAAAUCCUAUCAGGAUGCUUGGCGAGAACAAUUGUGUGAGACUGCCCCAUGAUCCUGCGUGGAUACGUGGCAGGAAUCAGGAGGACGAGUUGGUGUCCGAUUGGAAAUAAAGAGAAAUUGUGAAAAUGAAUGUUGUUGAAAUAUAACAAGAAACGCUGUUAUUGGUUGUAUGUUUAUAAAAUAAUUUAAUGAUUUAGAUUGGAAGCUGAUGUCAAUAAAUAAUUGAAAGGAAUAGUGCUUUGUUGUAAAGCCUAUUGUGCAGGAAGUGCAAGAAGUCAAGAAGGCCGUGUCGAAGUUCUCAGAAGUAUUUGAAUUCGAUGAACGCUAAAUUUAUUUGACGCUCAGUUAUGGUUGUCGCUUAGUAUACGCAGCUGGUUCCUGGUAAGACAUUGGUUCCAGGUAAAACAUGGUUUCUAGGAAUUCCUUUUCGAUGAGAGAGUGAGAUCUCUCCUGCUCUACUCGUAGCGCGACGGCAUUGCCAGAUCUCUUAUAGAGUGGCGUAGUCGUCGAGUGAGGCCCGGUCGCCCAAGAGAGAGAGAGAGAGAGAGAACCGGAGAGCAAGAAGUGCAAGAAUAUGAACUCUGGUAUUUGAAGCGAUGGUUAGUUUGAAUUUGGCUCUUGGCGCGGUCGGGACUUGCUGCGCAAUCGGAAUGGCAGAUCAUGAAAAUACUUCUUCUCCGUUAUAUAUAAUAUUAAGUUAUAGUUAAGUUCAGAACCCGAGUGGCAACGCCAGCUGAUAUUUAGCCUAUACGCAGAAUAUACUAGACAGCGAAAUAAAAGGAUGAAGGAAAUUAAAUCCCUUGCCUGUGGUUUUUAUUUGUUUUUUAUUUGCCAAAAAAAUUAAAAAAAAAAGAGAAUUAAUUACUGGAAGCGUGAUUAGCAUAAGACAUAUAUCACUUGUCGGUUGACUUACUAGUUUAAAAGAAAUAGCCGUACAAGUUUUGAAAUUUUUAGCGAUUUUCCGCUAAACAAGCUAAGUUCUUAAAAUGUUCAUUUUCAGAUAUACCAAGAAUGCUUUGAACGGGGCAUCGGAUCUAAGCAAAUUGAGUUUCUUUCGACGAGUGUUUUCAAAAAAAUUUAAACUGCUAAACAAGUGGAAUAUUUUACCAACCCGGUCUCAAAAACUCCACUUAAAGAAAAUUUUUUAAUUUUCACCAAUACUUAAUAUUUUAGCGAUACCAAUUACUCCUUACGAUCGGACCACCACAGCACAUUUUCAAUUCUGCGGCUAUAUAUAUUAGUCCCAUGCACACUCUCUUGGUGCGCAUCGUCACUACAUGUACUGCCGUCCAUAGUGAUUAAAGAGGAAUUUAUUAAAAAAUUCCUGUUGCCACACUGAGUAACGCUGCAGACGCAUACGCGUCCAUAAUAGCAUGCAAAAUGGAAGCACAAUUUAAAUAAUGAUUCAAAGACAAGAAGAGUAUUGACGCAAAAUCCAAAUAAACAGUCCACAUUCACAAGCUUUGCAAUUUUCACGCCAUGUUUAGCCGGCCGGAGUCAUCCCAUCUCCUCUACAAAAACAACUUACUCUAGCAUUUCGUACGCUUGUGAAGAAUUAAACAUGCCUUUUUAGUCAAACUCGACCGCCGUUAUUGGCGGAAAGGACGUGCCAGAAAAUUGAUUGCAACGACCAGCCACGCAGGACGUAAGUCAUGGAAAAGUACUGGAUGCUCGCGGCGAAGUGAGUGCGAGGACACCACGGAUAGGAACUUCGUUCAGCGCAGUAGUCGGCACUGGCACUGGCAAUUCCGGAAACGACGGACGGGUAGUAGUGUAGCGAAAUGACAUCAGUAGCCCCAAGGACGGCCCAGCUGUUACUUGGCCCGGGGAGGGUUCUACAUUGCCGAAACGGUCGGGGCUGCCGCUGAUCGUGGCUGCCGCUUGUCGUGGCACCUGCUGGUCGGCGCAGAUGACUUGCUCCGCGUGAACGUGUGUCGGGUUUAGCCGAUCUUCUUUGGCAGUGACAAUCUCCAAUGUUAUAUCGGGGUCACUGUAUAACGCAAAUAAAAAUAUCCAGGGACCCUCCUAAAAGGGUCCCCGGUGGCCCUAAGGAAACAAAAUCCACUUUAGAUUUAGUUGCUAUUAAAGAUACACACCUAAAAAAUGU